rfam:Gossypium arboreum cultivar AKA8401 contig_15235_1, whole genome shotgun sequence.
UAUUACAAAUUCAUCAAUUUCUACUAUUAAAAACUAAUAUGGUUGAUAGAAUGAUUAGAUAGUUUACACGUGGCAUGCUACGUACACCACAUUUUGACGUUAAAAUACCAAUUUUUAACAGUAGAAACUGAUGAAAUUUUUAAUA